UACGGAGGGUGCAAGCGUUAUCCGGAUUCACUGGGUUUAAAGGGUGCGUAGGUGGGUCUGAAAGUCAGUGGUGAAAUCUCCGGGCUUAACCUGGAAACUGCCAUUGAUACUCUGGAUCUUGAAUAUUCUGGAGGUAAGCGGAAUAUGUCAUGUAGCGGUGAAAUGCUUAGAUAUGACAUAGAACACCAAUUGCGAAGGCAGCUUACUACAGGAUUAUUGACACUGAGGCACGAAAGCGUGGGGAUCAAACAGG
rnacentral:rRNA from 1 species